GGUAAGACCCCAGAAAGACUAUCUGGUUGAUAGGUCGAAGGUGUAAGUGCAGCAAUGUAUUUAGCUUAUCGAUACUAAUAGGUCGAGGACUUGACCAA
rnacentral:rRNA from 1 species